rnacentral:rRNA from 1 species
GUGGGGAAUAUUCCGCAAUGGACGAAAGUCUGACGGAGCAACGCCGCGUGAGUGAUGAAGGUUUUCGGACUGUAAAGCUCUGUUGUUUAGGACGAAAGUGCCUGUUGCAAAUAGUUACAGGUAUUGACGGUACUGAACGAGGAAGCCACGGCUAACUACGUGCCAGCAGCCGCGGUAAUACGUAGGUGGCAAGCGUUGUCCGGAAUUAUUGGGCGUAAAGAGCAUGUAGGCGGAGAUUUAAGUCUGUUGUGAAAAUGCGGGGCUCAACCCCGUAUUGCGAUGGAAACUGAAUUUCUUGAGUGCAGGAGAGGAAAGGGGAAUUCCCAGUGUAGCGGUGAAAUGCGUAGAUAUUGGGAGGAACACCAGUGGCGAAGGCGCCUUUCUGGACUGUGUCUGACGCUGAGAUGCGAAAGCCAGGGGAGCGAACGGGAUUAGAAACCCUGGUAGUCC